UACGUAGGGUGCGAGCGUUGCCCGGAAUUAUUGGGCGUAAAGAGCUUGUAGGCGGUUUGUCGCGUCUGCUGUGAAAUUUCGGGGCUCAACCCCGAACUUGCAGUGGGUACGGGCAGACUAGAGUGUGGUAGGGGAGACUGGAAAGUUCCUGGUGUAGCGGUGAAAUGCGCAGAUAAUCAGGAGGAACACCGAUGGCGAAGGCAGGUCUCUGGGCCAUAACUGACGCUGAGAAGCGAAAGCAUGGGGAGCGAACAGG
rnacentral:rRNA from 1 species